CAUAUUCCACUCAGCAGUUUUCAGUGACAUAGUGCAAUAGGUUUUAGAGGACCAGAAGAAACUGAAUUCAUUAACCCACAAGGCGAGGGGACCCACUGCUUAACUACCACCCCCUCCUUCAGCCUCGACACCCCCCCCUCUGUGCUACAUGCUCUCUUAUAUAAACACAAAAAACAUAUAAAAUUAUUUCAUGUUACGAGUUAUAUGUUUCUGGUUGCCAUUGAUUUUGUGAUAUAGGUUUUUAUUAUUAUUAUUAUAUAUGUUGCCUACCGCAGAUUAUAAGGUUUAAUUUAAUGUACAUAAUGAUAUAAAUUUACUCUUAUUUCAAGCUAUUAUAAAUGCUGUUAGCUAUACGAAUCAGCAUUAGGUGAAGUAGAUACAUACAUACAUACAUACAUACAUACAUACAUACAUACAUACAUACAUACAUACAUGCAUACAUACAAAAAAUAGUAAUAAAACAGACAACUUUAUCAAAUAUUUUCCCCAUAAAUAAAGUUACAAUUUAAGCCUCACACACACACACACACACACACACACACACACACACACACACACACACACACACACACACACACAUAUAUAUCUUGCUUACCGGUACAUUAACACAUUAACGAGAAAUCUUUUAACUAACAGAUCAAAACUGGACCAACAGUGAAGCUCAAAUACAGGUUACAUAAUUAUAACAUAUAAGUUGGAAUUAUCAGAUAAGACAACAACAGGAGCAGGAGCAUCAUGAGUGACUGUCUAUGAGAAAAUAACACAAGGUUGGUGGAAAUUUUCGUGGUGGUAUUACUCGCUGGUAUUGUCUCCACCUCCACCAGUGUUUGUGUCGCCAGGGUCAAAUAUUAUCCCUUAGAACGGUGUAAAAGGACUUGUAGUUACCUAUGGACUUAAAACUAACACCAACAGUCUGGAGGAUAUAUUGUAGACUACAUCAAGGUCUUGUGAAUAAAAUAUGGCAAGGAGGGAAGGAUAUAUUGUUCAGAUCAGCCAUGGUUACUUUAUGUUGUAUACAGCUGUAGUUGAUGGUUGAAACACUGUGAUGUCAAGAAAUAAAUAAGAGGAUUCAUUAUAUAAACAUUUACUUAGAACAAUACUAAUCGAUAAUCAAAAAGCAAUAUACAGUCACUUCAAUAAAAACUAUCUGUACUUUGGGUGAUCGAUGAAUUCCAGAAUGAACACUAUGACUCCUGUUGUCUCGGUAGGGUUGUCAAAAUCCUUCGUUCAUUGUGUCAUAUUUUUUCAACACAAUUUUGUAUAGAUAUUUUUUUUUUAAGUGACUGUACAGCUGAACUUAGUUACUUCAUUAUGACGGCCAAAAGUAUGUCCUCACACAUAAGACAUACAAAAAAAUCAUCUCACUGAAUGUUACUUGAAAACUUAACAAGAAAAAAAUGGUAUAAUAUUAAUAAUUACGGUAAGGAAUACAAGGUGAAUGUCAUAGAUAACGAAGGUAAAUCACCCAAUCACCAUCCGUCUUAAAUCUGUAUAAUAACAUCUUGUCUCUUUGGAUAUAAAUAAGUUGACCAUUAUUA